rnacentral:rRNA from 1 species
GAUGAACGCUGGCGGUAUGCUUAACACAUGCAAGUUGAACGGUCUCUUCGGAGAUAGUGGCGGACGGGUGAGUAACGCGUAAGAACAUGCCUUUAGAUUGGGGACACCAGUUGGAAACGACUGCUAAUACCGAAUGUGCCUUAGGGUGAAAGAUUUAUUGUCUAGAGAUUGGCUCGCGUCAGAUUAGCUAGUUGGUGUGGUAACGGCACACCAAGGCGACGAUCUGUACUUGGUCUGAGAGGAUGACCAGGCACACUGGAACUGAGACACGGUCCAGACUCCUACGGGAGGCAGCAGUGGGGAAUUUUCCGCAAUGGGCGAAAGCUGACGGAACAAUACCGCGUGAGGGAGGAAGGCUUUUGGGUUGUAAACCUCUUUUAUCAGGGAAGAAUCGAUGACGGUACCUGAUGAAUCAGCAUCGGCUAACUCCGUGCCAGCAGCCGCGGUAAUACGGAGGAUGCAAGCGUUAUCCGGAAUUAUUGGGCGUAAAGCGUCCGUAGGUGGUUUAUCAAGUCUGCUGUCAAAGCGUGCGGCUUAACCGCAUAAGGGCAGUGGAAACUGAUGAACUAGAGUGCGAUAGGGGUAACAGGAAUUCCCAGUGUAGCGGUGAAAUGCGUAGAUAUUGGGAAGAACACCAGCGGCGAAGGCGUGUUACUGGGUCUGCACUGACACUGAGGGACGAAAGCUAGGGGAGCGAAAGGGAUUAGAUACCCCUGUAGUCCUAGCCGUAAACGAUGACAACUAGGCGUGGUUCGUAUCGACCCGAGCCGUGCCGUAGCCAACGCGUUAAGUUGUCCGCCUGGGGAGUACGCACGCAAGGUGAAACUCAAAGGAAUUGACGGGGGCCCGCACAAGCGGUGGAGUAUGUGGUUUAAUUCGAUGCAACGCGAAGAACCUUACCAAGGCUUGACAUCCUCGGAACCCUGAUGAAAGGUAGGGGUGCCUUCGGGAGCCGAGAGACAGGUGGUGCAUGGCUGUCGUCAGCUCGUGUCGUGAGAUGUUGGGUUAAGUCCCGCAACGAGCGCAACCCACGUUUUUAGUUGCCAGCAUUCAGUUGGGCACUCUAGAGAGACUGCCGGUGACAGACCGGAGGAAGGUGUGGAUGACGUCAAGUCAGCAUGCCCCAUACGCCUUGGGCUACACACGUACUACAAUGCGUCGGACAAAGAGCAGCCAGCCAGCGAAAGUGAGCCAAUCUCAUAAACCGGGGCUCAGUUCAGAUUGCAGGCUGCAACUCGCCUGCAUGAAGGCGGAAUCGCUAGUAAUCGCAGGUCAGCAUACUGCGGUGAAUACGUUCCCGGGCCUUGUACACACCGCCCGUCACACCAUGGGAGUUGGUCACGCCCGAAGUCGUUACUCUAACUGCUUGCAGAGGAGGACGCCGAAGGUGGGGCUGAUGACUGGGG